UACGGAGGGGGCUAGCGUUGUCCGAAGUUACUGGGCGUAAAGCGCGCGUAGGCGGGUUGGUAAGUCCGCUGUGAAAGCCCGGAGCUUAACUCCGGAGGGUCGGUGGAUACUGCCAGUCUUGAAGGUGCUAGGGGGAGAUGGAAUUACCGGUGUAGCGGUGAAAUGCGUAGAUAUCGGUAGGAACACCAGUGGCGAAGGCGGGUUGCUGGGCUGAUACUGACGCUGAGGCGCGAAAGCCAGGGGAGCGAACGGG
rnacentral:rRNA from 1 species